AUCUUCCUUAUUCUUUUCCUUUAGUGUUAAAAAAAAAGGAGAGAAAAAGAGGAAGGAGUUCACGUGCAUAACCCCUCUCUCAAAACUUCCUCUCAUGUCAACGUCCUCUCUCUCGUUCUUCAACCGACCAUCGUGGACCUCGCGCCACCACUAGUCAACCACCUCUACGUCAGACAACUCAACCGAUGAAGUUAGCACGCCGCAUGUCAUAGAUCUGGAACUUUUACACACCACUACAACUUUUGUCUGCGGUUUUCGCGCUGCUGCAGUUGCGUCUCCCCCACUUGUCAGAGUUUGCCAUCGUUUUGGUUUCAUCAAAAUUGGACUGUUAUUGCAAGCAUGCUGCUCAAUUUUUCGUUUAGCUCAAGUACACGGUGGAUCUUGAAGUCCUAUGGUGGGUUGUGGUUGUUCCUGAAGUUGGAUCUUGAAGUUUUGGAUUUGGAGUAUUGAGAGAUUUUAGCCGCUGUCCAACCGCAACGAGACUUGAAAUUGAAUGUUGGCACAAAUGUGGGUAAGGUUUCAAGCCUUAUGGUUUAGUUCUUGAAUACCCAUUUAAUUAUCUAGUGCUAAUAUUGAAUAACUCAUGAUGUUGGAAGCUAGAUUUUGAACUUAGAAGGUAGUUAGAUGUUGCCCAUUGAAAUUAAGAGUACUUUGACGAGUUCUUGACAGGUUUUGGAGUAAUUUUGUUGAGUUUUCCUAGAGUUCUUGAAUGUCCAAUAAGUUUAAGCACUAAAAUUGAAUCAACUAUGAUACUAGCUUGGAUCCUAGAGUUGAAUAUUAAAGGUUAAAAAUGGACUUUCCUUUAACUUUAGAGAUUUUUCUUGGGUGUUAUUUAUAUAAGCUUUGAAGCACACACUACAAGAAGGAUAGGGUAUGUCAACGCAGCUCUGUGUCGGUAAAAUUUCAAAAUGCAUCGGUAGAAGCUACGCCGAUGUCGAAACCGAUGUCGGCAAGGACAUCGUGAGAAAUACGUCAGCGUCUCCUCUCCCGAUGUGAGAACGGGAUGACAUCGACAAAAAUUUCUACCGACCCACUCUUUGCCGACAUGGUCAAUACGUCGGUAGUGCAGAACUACGAAUGUUGCCGUGUGCGUCGGCGUUGUCUAGUGUGUGCACCGACAGGGCAAUCAGAUUUAAUUUUUUUAUCAAUUAACGUAAAAUUAAUAAAAAAAUUAAUUUACUUCUAACUUUUAUUAAUUAAUGAAAACUUAAUAAAGAAAAUAUUGAAAUUCUAAAUUGAAUUAGAAUUAACAUAAAAUUAAAAAACGUUAUAAAACUACCAAGUUGAAUUUAUUAUUAAUUGAAAUAUUAAAAAAGUACAUGUUCUAGGUAGUUCUUCAAAUAUAGAUUACAUCAAUAAUACAAAGUAAAAAUGAAAACUUAAGCAUAAUUCAAAGUGUCGACGCCAGUUUCUCAACUUUUGCACAUUGCCUCAACAUCACUGUAGCUAGUAUGAUCAUAAGGACAUGGACAAGAUGUGUAAAGAGGAAAAUCGAACAUUAUUACUAGUUGCGUCGAGAGAAACACGAGGUUGCUUCAAACAAAAAGAACUCUUACUCUGGUGUUCUAGAAAAUUAAUUUGGAAGAGAGGAGCAGAAAAUGACAAGAUCAAGAACCGAACAAAUAAUAUGCAAGUAAAAAAUUUUCUAUGAUUUACAUGUUCGGUUUUCGAUUUUGUCAUUUUCUGAACUACCAAAGUCAGGGUUCUUUCUGUUUCAAGCGAACUUGUAUUUCUCCGGACGCGACUCAUAGUAAUGUCUAACCCUCUUUACACAUGCUACCCAUGUCUCUAUGAUCAAACUAGCUAAAAUAAUGUUCAACUUCUCUUCCUCUGUUUGAGUUCCUCCAUUGCACAUAAUGCUAAAAUACACAACAAGUUCGAUAUAAAAAAUAGAUACAAUAUACAUACAACAGAAUAACCAUCAACAUAAAAUAAAAAACAUUAACAUACAUACAACAGAACAACCAUCAACAUAUAUUCAAAAGCAUAUACAUAAAAAGCAUUCAAAGUGUAUUUGCAUGAUUGGAUAUCAAAGUGAAUAGGGAAAGUUGUUUAUAGUAAGUGGUGAAGGAUAUGUGUCAAUAUGAUGUCCUAAGGUCUUUUCCAUUAAGUUGCACCAUGAGAUUCUUAUAAUGCAUCUACAUUUAUCCCUUGGUGCAACCUUACCAAUUAAAAGAUUGUAUUAUAGGAUUCAGAAUACGGUGAACUUCGUCUUUUCAACUUUGGGAGCAUAUUGAUCCUAUCUUAGAAAUCUAAAAAUGGAAGGUUACCUUACAAGAAUAUCUAAGGUGUUAGUAUAUUCUUGACCAAAGUAACGGUAAUUAAAUUCUUUGGAAUAAAGGGUAUUUAGAUAGUAUUUAGUAAAGAAGGUCUUGGUUCAUUGAAGGAAUAAUCAACUGCCCCUCAGUAGAGGUUCUUCUAAACCAUUGAAAUAUCGUUGCAAAGUAAAAUGUUGGGUACAUUAUUACUUUUGUUAAAACUUGGUUGGUUUUCUAAGAGUCUAUGGCACAUCUCUGAUAGAAUUUGUUUAUGUUUCAAUAUGUCCAGCUCAUUAAUCUAUUUAUUAGCUUCUGACAAACUUAACGGUGAAACUUCGUGGCAAUCAAAUUUAGAUAUAAUGUUAGUACUUGAUGAUUUACGGUUUGUCUUGAAAGAGUGUCCUCUAAACCCUGACUCAACGACUAACCGAAGUGUUGGAGUAUCCUAUACAAAAUAUGUUCGUGGAAAUAAAAUGCUAAGCCUACAUCCUUGCAAGCGUAUCUAAUGUGAUGACGAAGAAGCAUGAAUCAAUUGCAGAAGCGAGAGUGAUUAUGAAAUCGUUGUAAGCUAUGUUCGGCCAACCAUCUUCUGCAUUGAUUCACGAUGCCAUUUAGUACACACGAUAUAACUCCAGAAUAAGGAAGGGGACCUCUAUUAGAGGACAUGUCUUAGACAUGAUGAUCCACUUUAAUUAAGAUGAGAUGGAUGAUUUUAUCAUGGAGUCUCUUCUGAAGAGUUGUUUUUUGUUACGGACUAGAGUCAGAUAAAAUGUCACUUUAACUUUCCUUCUAAAUGAGCUAGAAGAGUUUAUCCAUCCUUGUUGAAAUCAAAAGGAAAAAAGGGAGAAGUAAAUGUUACAUUUUUAAAAAAAUUCAAAGGUUCAUCAAUGGAUAAAAUUGGUCCUUUCUACAUCAAAGCGAAAAGGUAUCCCAGUUGAUAAAAAAAGGAAAAGAGAUGAAGGUUACGACUGCAAAGAAAGGAACAAUGCAAAAAAAGGUAAAUGUCACAUGCAACCAAGAAGAGCAUUGGAAAAGAAAUUUCCCUAAAUACCUUUUUCAAAUGAGGGCUGAAAAAGACGAAUAAGAAAAGCAGUUCCUGGAGACAACUUGAAAACGAUGAGAUAAGUCUCGGUGUUGGAACAUGAGAGCUAGUCCCAGAUGAAAUAGUGAGGAACUUGAGUUGUUUGGAGAUAAUUUUUUUUUUUUGGUUAGAAAAUGUAUUACUUCUUCAUAAGAUGAAAAUGAAUCUUGUAUAUAUCCCAUGUUUGAUGGAACAUAUGUAUAAACUUAUUUUGAUGUUAAUGAAGUGUUCAUUACUUUAAAAAAAU